GAGUUUGAUUCUGGCUCAGGAUGAACGCUGGCGGCAUGCCUAAGACAUGCAAGUCGAACGAGACGGCCUAUUGAAGAUGGAGUGCUUGCACAAAGUUGGAUAUAGUUUACCGUCUAGUGGCGCAAGGGUGAGUAACGCGUGGGUUAUCUGCCUUCAAGACUGGGAUAACGGUUAGAAAUGAUCGCUAAUACCGGAUAAUACAUAUUUCAGUACGCUGUUAUAUGUUGAAAGGAGCCUUUAAAGCUCUACUCGAAGAUGAGCCUGCGUCGUAUUAGCUAGUUGGUGGGGUAAAGGCCUACCAAGGCGACGAUGCGUAGCCGACCUGAGAGGGUGAUCGGCCACACUGGGACUGAGACACGGCCCAGACUCCUACAGGAGACAGCAGUUAGGAAUAUUUGUCAAUGGAGGAAACUCUGAACAAGCAAUGCCGCGUGAAGGAUGACGGUCCUAUGGAUUGUAAACUUCUGUUGUUAGGGAAGAACGACUACACAAGGAAAUGUGUGUAGAGUGACGGUACCUUUC
rnacentral:rRNA from 1 species